CGCGUAGGCGGUUUAUAAGUCAGAUGUGAAAGGUACCGGCUCAACCGGUGACGUGCAUUUGAAACUGUAAGACUUGAGUACUGAAGAGGGCAAGCGGAAUUCCUAGUGUAGCGGUGAAAUGCGUAGAUAUUAGGAGGAAUACCGGUGGCGAAGGCGACUUUCUGGACUUUACUGACGCUCAGGUACGAAAGCGUGGGGAGCAAACAG
rnacentral:rRNA from 1 species